rnacentral:rRNA from 1 species
UGGGGAAUUUUGCGCAAUGGGGGAAACCCUGAUGCAGCGACGCCGCGUGAUUUAGAAGGCCUUCGGGUUGUAAAAAUCUUUUCUAUGGGAAGAAAAUGACAGUACCAUAGGAAUAAGGACCGGCUAAUUACGUGCCAGCAGCCGCGGUAAUACGUAAGGUCCGAGCGUUGUCCGGAAUCAUUGGGCGUAAAGGGUACGUAGGCGGGUAAGCAAGUUAGAAGUGAAAUCCUAUAGCUCAACUAUAGUAAGCUUUUAAAACUGCUCAUCUUGAGGUAUGGAAGGGAAGGUGGAAUUCCUAGUGUAGCGGUGAAAUGCGCAGAUAUUAGGAGGAAUACCGGUGGCGAAGGCGACUUUCUGGCCAUAACCUGACGCUGAGGUACGAAAGCGUGGGUAGCAAACAGG